AGCCCGGAUUGACCCAAAUUUCCGGGAAUGUUGCCGUCCAUUCCCAGGGCUCGGAGCGGGAUGUGGUGGCCACGGUGGAGCGGGAAUUUGGGAAGUUGGAAUCCUUCAUCAGCCAGGUCCUGGAUGAAGCCGUCGUCACCAAGGAGCUCUGGAAAUCCCUGGGAUGCAAAUUCACCGAUGUGCUGUGUGUUCCCGAGCGGAGGCUCCUGGAGGACAGCCGGAACCUUCCCAUCGCGUCCGGCGCCGCCCGCUCCGAGCGGCUCCUGCUCUUCGACGACGUCCUGGUGCUCAUCCAGGGAAACAGCUUCCAGAGUUUUGAUCUGAAGCUGGUGUGGGUGGAUGAAAACUGCGGAGAGAAAUCGGCUCCGGGACUGCACAGCCUACGCAUCACAACCCCGGAGGAGACCUUCGUCCUCUCCACCAAGGACCCUCAGACCAAGGUCAGGCCUUGGGAUUUUCCCAUCUCUUUAGUAUUUCAAGCUGGAUAAUCAUUCUGGUGAGGGUGGGCUGGGAUUUCCGGCUCCUUUUCCAGAAGAAUCCUGGAUUAGGUGGCCAGAGGUGGCUCAGAGUUGAUGGCUGGUGAGGAAUGAGGAAUUCUGGUGGGAACCCAUCGGUUCCUUGCCGCUUU
rnacentral:lncRNA from 1 species